rnacentral:rRNA from 1 species
AUACGAAGGGGGCUAGCGUUGUUCGGAAUUACUGGGCGUAAAGGGAGUGUAGGCGGUUAUGUAAGAUAGGGGUGAAAUCCCAGGGCUCAACCUUGGAAUUGCCUUUAUAACUAUGUAACUAGAGUAAUGGAGAGGAUAGUGGAAUACCCAGUGUAGAGGUGAAAUUCGUAGAUAUUGGGUAGAACACCGGUGGCGAAGGCGACUAUCUGGCCAUUUACUGACGCUGAGGCUCGAAAGCGUGGGGAGC